rnacentral:rRNA from 1 species
GUACGGGAGGCAGCAGUGGGGAAUUUUGGACAAUGGGCGCAAGCCUGAUCCAGCCAUGCCGCGUGAGUGAAGAAGGCCUUCGGGUUGUAAAGCUCUUUCAGCCGGAAAGAAAACGCAUUGGCUAAUACCCCGUGUGGAUGACGGUACCGGAAGAAGAAGCACCGGCUCACUACGUGCCAGCAGCCGCGGUAAUACGUAGGGUGCGAGCGUUAAUCGGAAUUACUGGGCGUAAAGCGUGCGCAGGCGGUUUCGUAAGACAGAUGUGAAAUCCCCGGGCUUAACCUGGGAACUGCAUUUGUGACUGCGAGACUAGAGUGCGGCAGAGGGGGGUAGAAUUCCACGUGUAGCAGUGAAAUGCGUAGAUAUGUGGAGGAAUACCGAUGGCGAAGGCAGCCCCCUGGGUCGACACUGACGCUCAUGCACGAAAGCGUGGGGAGCAAACAGGAUUAGAUACCCCGGUAGUCAC